rnacentral:rRNA from 1 species
UAAGGAAUAUUGCGCAAUGGGCGACAGCCUGACGCAGCGACGCCGCGUGGGGGAUGAAGGUCUUCGGAUUGUAAACCCCUUUCGGCAGGGAAGAUGGAACGGGUAACCGUUCGGACGGUACCUGCAGAAGCAGCCACGGCUAACUUCGUGCCAGCAGCCGCGGUAAUACGAAGGUGGCAAGCGUUGUUCGGAUUUACUGGGCGUACAGGGAGCGUAGGUGGUUAGGUAAGCCCUCCGUGAAAACUCCAGGCUUAACCUGGACAGUGCAGAGGGGACUGCCGGGCUAGAGGACGGGAGAGGAGCGCGGAAUUCCCGGUGUAGCGGUGAAAUGCGUAGAGAUCGGGAAGAACAUCGGUGGCGAAGGCGGCUCGCUGGGCUGUUGCUGACGCUGAGGCGCGAAAGCGUGGGGAGCAAACAGGAUUAGAUACCCAUGUAGUCCCUGAGCGGGCUGGCAAGGCGCAU